GAUGAACGCUGGCGGCGUGCCUAAUACAUGCAAGUCGAGCGAACAGACGAGGAGCUUGCUCCUCUGACGUUAGCGGCGGACGGGUGAGUAACACGUGGAUAACCUACCUAUAAGACUGGGAUAACUUCGGGAAACCGGAGCUAAUACCGGAUAACAUGUUGAACCGCAUGGUUCAACAGUGAAAGACGGUCUUGCUGUCACUUAUAGAUGGAUCCGCGCCGCAUUAGCUAGUUGGUAAGGUAACGGCUUACCAAGGCAACGAUGCGUAGCCGACCUGAGAGGGUGAUCGGACACACUGGAACUGAGACACGGUCCAGACUCCGACGGGAGGCAGCAGUAGGGAAUAUUCCGCAAUGGGCGAAAGCCUGACGGAGCAACGCCGCGUGAGUGAUGAAGGUCUUCGGAUCGUAAAACUCUGUUAUUAGGGAAGAACAAAUGUGUAAGUAACUAUGCACGUCUUGACGGUACCUAAUCAGAAAGCCACGGCUAACUACGUG
rnacentral:rRNA from 1 species